UACAGAGGGUGCGAGCGUUGUUCGGAAUUACUGGGCGUAAAGCGCGCGCAGGCGGCCUUUUAAGUCUACCCGUGAAAUGCCGGAGCUCAACUCCGUGCACGCCGGGGGGAUACUGGGAGGCUGGAGACAGGUAGAGGCAAGCGGAAUUCGGGUGUAGCGGUGGAAUGCGUAGAUAGUCCGGAAGAACACCUGGAGGCGAAGGCGGCUUGCUGGGCCUGAUCUGACGCGUGAGGCGCGAAAGCGUGGGAGCAACAGG
rnacentral:rRNA from 1 species